UGGGGAAUAUUGGACAAUGGGGGCAACCCUGAUCCAGCCAUGCCGCGUGUGUGAAGAAGGCCUUAGGGUUGUAAAACACUUUCAGCGGGGAAGAUGAUGACGGUACCCGCAGAAGAAGCCCCGGCUAACUCCGUGCCAGCAGCCGCGGUAAUACGGAGGGGGCUAGCGUUGUUCGGAAUUACUGGGCGUAAAGGGCGUGUAGGCGGCCUGCCAAGUCAGAUGUGAAAGCCCCGGGCUUAACCUGGGAACUGCAUUUGAGACUGGCCGGCUAGAGGUUGGAAGAGGAGAGUGGAAUUCCCAGUGUAGAGGUGAAAUUCGUAGAUAUUGGGAAGAACACCAGUGGCGAAGGCGGCUCUCUGGUCCACACCUGACGCUGAGGCGCGAAAGCGUGGGGAGCAAACAGGAUUAGAUACCCAAGUAGUCCCUGAGCGGGCUGGCAAGGCGCAU
rnacentral:rRNA from 1 species